CCGGAGAAAGUGCGUCUCUCUCCCGGCUUACAAAAAGUUGACAUCGAGUCGGUUGAAAAGUAGGUUAAUUAGUAGUGUCUGACAGAGCUCCCCAGCAGUGACUUACUUCAGGUGCCGCAUAUUACUGCUACUCUGCUGAAAAAGGCUUUGUUUUCACCUAGCUUUGUAGCCUCGAGUGUCUGAAUAUUGAUUAACUCCGGGUAUUUGACUUCUUUGAAAUACGCUCGCAAUAUUCCGAUAAACUGCAUCCUUAUACUCGGGAUGUUCUUUAAAUGUAAUUAAAGUAUUAAAAGCGCUUUGCUGCUGGAAAUGUGGUCCUUGGCAACGAAGGGAGAAACCUUUGCCGGCAGAGUUUGCCGAUGUCCCUUAGCGAGGGGAUACGGUCAGCAAACUGCCGCGCAGGGACCUACCCCAGAGAGAGCUUUUCUAUCUUUUUCUCAUGGGAAGAAAACAAACAAAAAAACGAAAUAUUUACAUUCCCCAGAGGGUCUCGGUGAGCUCGGUCGAGUCCCAUCCCCAUAUCUGGCCACGCAAAGCCAGAAAACCUUCCCACUUCCGAAAUGUCUGGGGAAUCGCCCCGCACGGCAGCACUCUCCAUCCUCCCCUUUGGGCGGCUGUCGCGACAGACGCGAUGUCGGGACGGAGGGGCGCACGGGGCGGCCGGACAGCCCCAGCCGCGGUCCCCGGGCGCGCAGCGCAGCGCGGCGCGGAGCGUUUUUCUAAUGCCAACCCCUGGAUGCGCUCGGCGUUUCAAAGGCCUCUGUGAAAGGACACGUUUGUUGGUCACAUACUGGUAGCAACGAGACCCAACGCUUCUGCCUUCUCUCAGGAGCUGCAUUCUGCGCAGCAUAUGUGGAGGAAUAAUUUAUUAGACGGAAAAGUUCGGAGGAUAAAAUGCCAAAAUGGACAUCAUUUCAACUUUCGAGCGGUAAGGUCAUACAGACAUCUAUGGACAUCUGUACGCAGACAGUUUCACACAGACGCAGCCACGUAGAUCCAGAUGUAUGUCUAUACACAGGAUUCGGUAGUUUGGUAUUUUCCGCACCCUCUGGGCCCCCAAAGUUAUCUUUAAAAGUUUGAUUUUAUCUCUUUAGAAACGGUUUAAAG
ensembl:lncRNA